AAAAUACUCCCUCCAUCCGGAAAUACUUGUCGGAGAAAUGGAUGUAUCUAGACGUAUUUUAGUUCUAGAUACAUCCAUUUUUCUGACAAGUAUUUCCAGACGGAGGGAGUACAUU
rnacentral:pre_miRNA from 1 species